rnacentral:piRNA from 1 species
UCGGCCUGUCAUAUCGUCAUC